AUUGAACGCUGGCGGCAUGCCUUACACAUGCAAGUCGAACGGAAACGGGCCUUCGGGUGCCGACGAGUGGCGAACGGGUGAGUAAUGUAUCGGAACGUACCUUUCGGUGGGGGAUAACGUAGCGAAAGUUACGCUAAUACCGCAUAUUCUGUGAGCAGGAAAGCAGGGGAUCGCAAGACCUCGCGCUGAUUGAGCGGCCGAUAUCAGAUUAGCUAGUUGGUGAGGUAAAGGCUCACCAAGGCGACGAUCUGUAGCGGUUCUGAGAGGCUGAUCCGCCACACUGGAACUGAGACACGGUCCAGACUCCUGCGGGAGGCAGCAGUGGGGAAUUUUGGACAAUGUGGGCAACCCUGAUCCAGCCAUGCCGCGUGAGUGAGGAAGGCCUUCGGGUUGUAAAGCUCUUUCGGCCGGGAAGAAAUCGUAUCAGCUAAUACCUGGUGCGGAUGACGGUACCGGCAUAAGAAGCACCGGCUAACUACGUGCCAGCCGCCGCGGUAAUAC
rnacentral:rRNA from 1 species